rnacentral:rRNA from 1 species
AUUGAACGCUGGCGGCAGGCCUAACACAUGCAAGUCGAGCGGAAACGAGUUAUCUGAACCUYCGGGGAACGAUAACGGCGUCGAGCGGCGGACGGGUGAGUAAUGCCUAGGAAAUUGCCCUGAUGUGGGGGAUAACCAUUGGAAACGAUGGCUAAUACCGCAUGAUGCCUACGGGCCAAAGAGGGGGACCUUCGGGCCUCUCGCGUCAGGAUAUGCCUAGGUGGGAUUAGCUAGUUGGUGAGGUAAGGGCUCACCAAGGCGACGAUCCCUAGCUGGUCUGAGAGGAUGAUCAGCCACACUGGAACUGAGACACGGUCCAGACUCCUACGGGAGGCAGCAGUGGGGAAUAUUGCACAAUGGGCGCAAGCCUGAUGCAGCCAUGCCGCGUGUGUGAAGAAGGCCUUCGGGUUGUAAAGCACUUUCAGUCGUGAGGAAGGUGGUGUAGUUAAUAGCUGCAUUAUUUGACGUUAGCGACAGAAGAAGCACCGGCUAACUCCGUGCCAGCAGCCGCGGUAAUACGGAGGGUGCGAGCGUUAAUCGGAAUUACUGGGCGUAAAGCGCAUGCAGGUGGUUUGUUAAGUCAGAUGUGAAAGCCCGGGGCUCAACCUCGGAAUAGCAUUUGAAACUGGCAGACUAGAGUACUGUAGAGGGGGGUAGAAUUUCAGGUGUAGCGGUGAAAUGCGUAGAGAUCUGAAGGAAUACCGGUGGCGAAGGCGGCCCCCUGGACAGAUACUGACACUCAGAUGCGAAAGCGUGGGGAGCAAACAGGAUUAGAUACCCUGGUAGUCCACGCCGUAAACGAUGUCUACUUGGAGGUUGUGGCCUUGAGCCGUGGCUUUCGGAGCUAACGCGUUAAGUAGACCGCCUGGGGAGUACGGUCGCAAGAUUAAAACUCAAAUGAAUUGACGGGGGCCCGCACAAGCGGUGGAGCAUGUGGUUUAAUUCGAUGCAACGCGAAGAACCUUACCUACUCUUGACAUCCAGAGAACUUUCCAGAGAUGGAUUGGUGCCUUCGGGAACUCUGAGACAGGUGCUGCAUGGCUGUCGUCAGCUCGUGUUGUGAAAUGUUGGGUUAAGUCCCGCAACGAGCGCAACCCUUAUCCUUGUUUGCCAGCGAGUAAUGUCGGGAACUCCAGGGAGACUGCCGGUGAUAAACCGGAGGAAGGUGGGGACGACGUCAAGUCAUCAUGGCCCUUACGAGUAGGGCUACACACGUGCUACAAUGGCGCAUACAGAGGGCGGCCAACUUGCGAAAGUGAGCGAAUCCCAAAAAGUGCGUCGUAGUCCGGAUUGGAGUCUGCAACUCGACUCCAUGAAGUCGGAAUCGCUAGUAAUCGUGGAUCAGAAUGCCACGGUGAAUACGUUCCCGGGCCUUGUACACACCGCCCGUCACACCAUGGGAGUGGGCUGCAAAAGAAGUAGGUAGUUUAACCUUCGGGGGGACGCUUACCACUUUGUGGUUCAUGACUGGGGUG